GAUUCAGAAUCCAUGGCUGGAAGAGGUAGUAAGGCCAUUGGGAGGGGUCUCCAUUCUGAAAUUUCCAUUCAGG
ensembl:misc_RNA